CUUUUCUCCCCGAAGAGGACCCUGGGAAGGUGGCUCCCGCCUCACUCCUAGAGUGAAAUCCUCGCAGCCCUGCCCUCGCGGGCGGAGCAGAGACGCCGCCGCUUGGCCGGUUCACGCCUGUCACACAAAGCCGCCGAGGGUCGGCUGCGCCCCUGGCAAGGCUGUAGGGCUGGGGAUACUGAGUAUGACAGGCGAGGUCCCUGCUCUCAAGAACUUACAUGGGAGAGAAGGGGAGACAAGAUAAACAGGAGCCAGAGAAUUCUCGUAGCUGUGAUUAGACAUCAACCUUGGGCAUGCUAAACAUUUCAGCCUGGACACCCUGAGAAGAGCCAGUGCCACUGGUGACAGCUGCUUCUGUGCGGGCUUUUGCUUGGCCAGAGAGGCAGGACCUUCUCCCUGGCAUUUUGAGGAGUGGUGCCGGGUGGGCAGUGACUGCACUAGCAACAGUCUAUACCAAGAGAAGACCUCAAAUUCCCAGAGAAGAAAGGCAGCGAGGCCAAGAAAUGCUGCCGCCGCUUAACAAGUGAAGAUGCAUACUGGAGAAUAGGAACUGAACACGCGAAGGAGUUUCGGCUUUACUGCCUUCUCUCCUAGCAUUGAACAGAUCUUCUCUGCUGUUGAUUAUUCUCCAUGAAUCAUCAUCCAUAGAAAGUGACUGAGGCAAUAGAGAGUGAAUAAUGAAUCUCUCAAAUAGUCUUUUGUGUUUCUGCCUGGAGGGUUUUGGAAAUAACUUGCAUCUUAAUCUUUCUGACUUAGAAUCAUAGAAUUUGGGAGCUGAAAAGGACCUUCAUCAGGGCAUGUG
rnacentral:lncRNA from 1 species